rnacentral:rRNA from 1 species
UACAGAGGGGGCAAGCGUUGUUCGGAAUUACUGGGCGUAAAGGGCGCGUAGGCGGCCUGUUAAGUCGAACGUGAAAUCCCUGGGCUCAACCCAGGAACUGCGUCCGAUACUGGCAGGCUUGAAUUCGGGAGAGGGAUGCGGAAUUCCAGGUGUAGCGGUGAAAUGCGUAGAUAUCUGGAGGAACACCGGUGGCGAAAGGCGCAUCCU